rnacentral:tRNA from 1 species
CGGGGCGUAGCGCAGUUUGGUAGCGCGCACGGUUCGGGUCCGUGAGGUCGGCAGUUCGAAUCUGCCCGCCCCGACCG